rnacentral:rRNA from 1 species
CAACAACGGAUCUCUUGGUUCUGGCAUCGAUGAAGAACGCAGCGAAAUGCGAUAAGUAAUGUGAAUUGCAGAAUUCAGUGAAUCAUCGAAUCUUUGAACGCACAUUGCGCCCGCCAGUAUUCUGGCGGGCAUGCCUGUCCG